AACGAACGCUGGCGGCAGGCUUAACACAUGCAAGUCGAACGCCCCGCAAGGGGAGUGGCCGACGGGUGAGUACCGCGUGGGAACAUACCCUUUUCUACGGAAUAGCUCUGGGAAACUGGAAUUAAUACCGUAUACGCCCUACGGGGGAAAGAUUUAUCGGGGAAGGAUUGGCCCGCGUUGGAUUAGCUAGUUGGUGGGGUAAAGGCCUACCAAGGCGACGAUCCAUAGCUGGUCUGAGAGGAUGAUCAGCCACAUUGGGACUGAGACACGGCCCAAACUCCUACGGGAGGCAGCAGUGGGGAAUAUUGGACAAUGGGCGCAAGCCUGAGCCAGCCAUGCCGCGUGAGUGAUGAAGGCCUUAGGGUUGUAAAGCUCUUUCACCGAUGAAGAUAAUGACGGUAGUCGGAGAAGAAGCCCCGGCUAACUUCGUG
rnacentral:rRNA from 1 species